UACGAAGGGGGCUAGCGUUGUUCGGAUUUACUGGGCGUAAAGCGCACGUAGGCGGAUCUUUAAGUCAGAGGUGAAAUCCCAAGGCUCAACCUUGGAACUGCCUUUGAUACUGGGGAUCUUGAGUCCGGGAGAGGUGAAGUGGAACUGCGAGUGUAAGAGGUGAAAUUCGUAGAUAAUUCGCAAGAACACCAGUGGCGAAAGGCG
rnacentral:rRNA from 1 species